GGACAUAUAGCUCACUGGUAGAGUGUGUGUUUAGCAUGUACGAGGUCCUGGGUUCAAUCCCACUACCUCUA
rnacentral:tRNA from 1 species